rnacentral:rRNA from 1 species
UACAGAGGUCUCAAGCGUUGUUCGGAUUCAUUGGGCGUAAAGGGUGCGUAGGCGGCGCGGUAAGUCGGGUGUGAAAUUUCGAGGCUUAACUUCGAAACUGCAUUCGAUACUGCCGUGCUUGAGGACUGGAGAGGAGACUGGAAUUUACGGUGUAGCGGUGAAAUGCGUAGAUAUCUGGAGGAACACCGGUGGCGAAGGCGGCAUCCUGGACCAACACUGACGCUGAGGAGCGAAAGCCAGGGGAGCAAACGGG